UUGAAAAACAGGAGAGCAAUGGAGCAGAAGAAUUUGUGUUUUGAAACUGUGGAGAUCUUGGAGCGACGGUGUGAGGAGUUUGAGGAGGAAAAUAUCCUCCUCAAAAAAAGAUUGGAGAAUCUUAACUUGAAACUCCAAAAUCUGACUGAAAGAGACUCCACCAUCAAUAACCUGGUGAGAGAAAAUCAAUUGCUGAGAGACAAAGAGGAUGAAAGAGAACAACGGAUCCUGGGAUUGACCGAAGAAUUGGAGGAUUCAAGAGCAAAAAUUGAAACAUUAAAAAGAGAGUACCGAGAGAUGGCAAUCGAGAAUCAGCGGCUGGAAAAAACCAAUGCGUCGAUCAGGCAACAGGCCAACAAUGCAUUACAAAACAAGACAAGAGAUCGCCGCUGGCUUGAAACUGAAAACGAGGAACUAAACAAAGAAAUUGUUACCUUGAAAUUAAAGAUGGAGAAAAUAAAAUCAAGAAAAGAGGGAGCAAAUAUCCAGAAAAGUGAAAAGACGCAGGAAGAAGACAUGGUGCCGGAGGAGACAAACCCAACGAUGCUGAGGAGAGUUGGGCAUGUUUAUCUCUCCAUGUAUAAACAGGGGACAUUAAGAUACUGGGUUCCCUCGUGGAUAUUUUAAUAAUGCUGAAAAUCCACAAUUUAAAAUAUAUAUAAAAAAAAAUAAGGACAACCAUCUGGACAAAAACAUGCCCAACUCUCCUCAGCGUUGUUGGUUCGGGGUCUCUUCCAGAGAGCGGGUCUGGGGUGAAGCAGCUCUCGGCCAGGAUGAGGAUCAGUGCCUCCAAAUCCGAGGCCAUGGUCCCGAGCCGGAAAAGGGUAGAGAGCCUUUUACCGGGUCGAGACCGAUGUCCUGCCCCAAGUGGAGGAGUUCAAGUAUCUCUGGAUCUUGUUCACUAAUGAGGGAAGAAGGGAGCGGGAGAUCGACAGGCGGAUCGGCGCUGUACCGGUCCGCCGUGGUGAAGAGAGAGCUGAGCCAAACAGCGAAGCUCUUCAUUUACGGGUUGGUCUCUGUUCCCGCCCUCAUUUGGAAGAACGAGAUCCCGGAUACAAGCGGCCGAAAUGGGUUUCCUCCGCAGGGUGGCUGGGCUCUCCCUUAGAGUCAGGUGAGAAGCUCGGUCACCCGGGAUGGACCCAGACUAGAGCCGCUGCUCCUUCACAGCCACUUGAGACUCUGGUCGGGAUGCCUCACUUGCGGACAGAGAAGACUGGGCCUCCCGAGGCCAAUACUUAAUAAGCUGCUUCCCCCGAGACCCGAACUUGGAUUAGUGAUAGACGAUGGAUGGACGGACGGACGGAUGGACGGAUGGACGCGGACGGACGGAUGGACGGGCGGAGGGACAGACGGACGGCCGGCUGGAUGGACGGACGGACUAAUGGAUGGACGGACGGACUAAUGGAUGGAUCGCUUGCAGACAUGCGCAGCAGUCAGGAUCCACUGUUCAGAGAUCACAGUUCCCCCCCACUGGAAUGUUGUCACACACAGUGAACUUUGCACUGCAAAGGAACCUGAAACAAUUGCUUUGUAGAUUUCAAACACUUCGUAUUCUUCCUACCUGCCACGGCCAGCUGUGAGGCCUGACGUCCUCUCCGUUAACCACUCUGCUCACCACGGGCUGGAAGGUGGGAUUGCCGCACCCAUAGGCUGAAAUAAAG